rnacentral:rRNA from 1 species
CAGUCCUACGGGGGGCAGCAGUAGGGAAUCUUCCACAAUGGGCGAAAGCCUGAUGGAGCAACGCCGCGUGGGUGAAGAAGGUCUUCGGAUCGUAAAGCUCUGUUGGUAGUGAAGAAAGAUAGAGGUAGUAACUGGCCUUUAUUUGACGGUAAUUACUUAGAAAGUCACGGCUAACUACGUGCCAGCAGCCGCGGUAAUACGUAGGUGGCAAGCGUUGUCCGGAUUUAUUGGGCGUAAAGCGAGUGCAGGCGGUUCACUAAGGCUGAUGUGAAAGCCUUCGGCUCAACCGGAGAAUUGCAUCAGAA